AAGUCGAACGAACUCUGGUAUUGAUUGGUGCUUGCAUCAUGAUUUACAUUUGAGUGAGUGGCGAACUGGUGAGUAACACGUGGGAAACCUGCCCAGAAGCGGGGGAUAACACCUGGAAACAGAUGCUAAUACCGCAUAACAACUUGGACCGCAUGGUCCGAGCUUGAAAGAUGGCUUCGGCUAUCACUUUUGGAUGGUCCCGCGGCGUAUUAGCUAGAUGGUGGGGUAACGGCUCACCAUGGCAAUGAUACGUAGCCGACCUGAGAGGGUAAUCGGCCACAUUGGGACUGAGACACGGCCCAAACUCCUACGGGAGGCAGCAGUAGGGAAUCUUCCACAAUGGACGAAAGUCUGAUGGAGCAACGCCGCGUGAGUGAAGAAGGGUUUCGGCUCGUAAAACUCUGUUGUUAAAGAAGAACAUAUCUGAGAGUAACUGUUCAGGUAUUGACGGUAUUUAACCAGAAAGCCACGGCUAACUACGUGCCAGCAGCCGCGGUAAUACGUAGGUGGCAAGCGUUGUCCGGAUUUAUUGGGCGUAAAGCGAGCGCAGGCGGUUUUUUAAGUCUGAUGUGAAAGCCUUCGGCUCAACCGAAGAAGUGCAUCGGAAACUGGGAAACUUGAGUGCAGAAGAGGACAGUGGAACUCCAUGUGUAGCGGUGAAAUGCGUAGAUAUAUGGAAGAACACCAGUGGCGAAGGCGGCUGUCUGGUCUGUAACUGACGCUGAGGCUCGAAAGUAUGGGUAGCAAACAGGAUUAGAUACCCUGGUAGUCCAUACCGUAAACGAUGAAUGCUAAGUGUUGGAGGGUUUCCGCCCUUCAGUGCUGCAGCUAACGCAUUAAGCAUUCCGCCUGGGGAGUACGGCCGCAAGGCUGAAACUCAAAGGAAUUGACGGGGGCCCGCACAAGCGGUGGAGCAUGUGGUUUAAUUCGAAGCUACGCGAAGAACCUUACCAGGUCUUGACAUACUAUGCAAAUCUAAGAGAUUAGACGUUCCCUUCGGGGACAUGGAUACAGGUGGUGCAUGGUUGUCGUCAGCUCGUGUCGUGAGAUGUUGGGUUAAGUCCCGCAACGAGCGCAACCCUUAUUAUCAGUUGCCAGCAUUAAGUUGGGCACUCUGGUGAGACUGCCGGUGACAAACCGGAGGAAGGUGGGGAUGACGUCAAAUCAUCAUGCCCCUUAUGACCUGGGCUACACACGUGCUACAAUGGAUGGUACAACGAGUUGCGAACUCGCGAGAGUAAGCUAAUCUCUUAAAGCCAUUCUCAGUUCGGAUUGUAGGUUGCAACUCGCCUACAUGAAGUCGGAAUCGCUAGUAAUCGCGGAUCAGCAUGCCGCGGUGAAUACGUUCCCGGGCCUUGUACACACCGCCCGUCACACCAUGAGAGU
rnacentral:rRNA from 2 species